rnacentral:rRNA from 1 species
UACGGGGGGGGUAAGCGUUGUUCGGAAUUAUUGGGCGUAAAGGGCUCGUAGGCGGUCUGUCACGUCGGGAGUGAAAACUCAGGGCUUAACCCUGAGCCUGCUUCCGAUACGGGCAGACUAGAGGUAUGCAGGGGAGAACGGAAUUCCUGGUGUAGCGGUGAAAUGCGCAGAUAUCAGGAGGAACACCGGUGGCGAAGGCGGUUCUCUGGGCAUUACCUGACGCUGAGGAGCGAAAGUGUGGGGAGCGAACAGG